ensembl:lncRNA
AUGUAGAGUCAGUGACGCCUGUGGAUGAUAGGGAAUGUAGAAUGUCAUCAGAUACCUGACUGUUGGCCCAUUGUUGGGAAGCCUUUGUGACAAAAUGCCCACAAUUUUCAGACUGUAGAUGGUCCAGAAAGCCAAAAUCAUGGCGUAGCUUAUUUUCAUAGGCUACAAUGAUGUGGCCAGAAUUAGCAGAUUAGACAGGAACAGCAACAAUAUAACUAGAAAAAUGUGUCACCAAGAGUGAAGCAUCAACAGUCACCCUGAGAGGAGGCUCUCAAUCCAGAGUGGUCAAUCUGUUAGCAGCGGGCAGGGUCAGUGCCCGAUAUGAGGCGGCCUCCUUCACCACGAGACCAGCUGGCCAACUUUUGGCAGAAGUCACAAGGGUGGCGUGUCCCGAGGAUCUUCUCUCACUCUGGCCAGUCUGUUGUGCGAAUGUGUUGCUAUGUGCCAUGACAGGCUGGGCAGUGCACCUUCCUCAGCAGCUUGAUCCCAGUCGGUCUUGUCAGAGAGUGGACCUUACCACGGGCAUGUACUUAGACAGUCCAUCAACUAUGGUUUGUUUCCUCAGUUUGUGGCACCAAAGAGGGGCGUCUUUAAUGUACUACUCUGUAGUCCUUCAAUUGGCAAGGGCCCGGGAGCUCAAAAAUGCAACACGGUUCAUCAGGUGGAGUGUUAGAGCUAUGGGAACAGCCUUUCCCGCCUUUGGUUCAGCAUGGCCGUGCUGAAGUUGAAGAGCAGUAGGUGUGAGUGGGCGUCAGGUUCUACCUUCACCAAACCACCAGCGGAUCAGGCCUGCACAUAUGGAGGAGCCUCUGUGAGUUCAGGGACCUAAUGAGGCAAGGGGUGGAUGGAAUAAAGCUUCCUAGGAAAAGGGGUAGUGCCACCCGUUCAUCAUGCAAACCUGAGAUGACGUAGAGCUAGCUGCUCCCCUGACCACAUUUUUUUCCAUUUGGCCGGCGAAGCCUGUCCUGUGAGUCGUAUCUCAGAGCUGAUCCUUCCCCCAGUAUGGACGUUAGGCUGGAGAGUCCUGGGGCCUCCAUGGGUAGGCGUUCCAUUUCAACAAACCUCAGUAAUGAGUUUAGAUCUGCUUUUUAAAAUGUUUGUGCCUGGUAGACAUUUCAGGGAAGUGACAAGUCCAGAAACUCAAGGGGCAUCCAUGCCCUUUUUUAACCACAGCCUCCGAUCAGCAAAAUCAUCACUCACAAAGAUUUGUAGCUCAAAGGGGUCAUAGGAUUGUGGGCACUAAGGUGGGGGGAUGCCACAGCUUCCUGAACGGCUCUCAGCACAGCCUGGUGGCUUUGGCCCUGCUGAAGGAUGCUGAGAGAGGACAAGGUAAAUGCUCAAGGGAGGCACAUGCCGCCUCCCAGACUCAGAGUCCCAGCAGGUGCCGAGCCUCUGUCUUGGCGGUGGGGCUGAAGGAGCAGCAGUCUUUCCUUGACUGCUGGAGGCACAUUGUGGACCCACCCGUAUUGUCCCAAGAAAUUUUGCUUGAUAAGCGGGGCCCCAAAUGGUGUCAGCAUUCUCAACCACUCCUGCUGGCUGAAGUGUGACAACAUCACAGUCUGGACCGUGGGGACUGAGGCUUCCGAUUUGCCAGCCAACAGGACAUCGUCUACAUAGUGACAGCUUUGGUCAUCAGGAGGCAGAGGCGCCCGCACUGGGGGUGAAGGGCAGGAGCUGUCCCACCAGCACUUCUCUACGUCUCUGUGCCUGAGCAGGAGAAUGUCCCCUGACACUCCCUGAGCAUUUACAGUGCAAGCACGCAACACGCGAGUUUCCUUAUGCAUUCAGCAGUGCCAGCUGUACCUACAAGAUGUGGGAUUGGCUCGGAGUCCUGACCUAUUAGUUUACUUUAACUUUUCAUUUUUUUGGCUCUACAAGUUGUGCUCAAAUCCUAUCAGCUGAAUUUGUUGUUCGGAACAGAGACCAAGGGGUUGAACACAUGCUGGUCAGGAGGUUCUGAGAGUUCAGGGCAAUCGGGAAGGGCGGGGUUUGGGGCGCUGAGCCUGGGGCCACAGAAUAAGUCGGGGAGGCUUUCCUUCCUCUUUUGGCUCCUCACUCCAGGGUCAGCACUACCUCCUCCCCUGUGGGCCUCCAGCAUCCACAUGGAGCCCAGGCUCAGGGUCUCUUUCUCUCUAUGCCUCACCUUCCACCCUGGCUCCAUCUCUUCUCCUGGGUACCAUAGGCCACCCCUGUACUCAGCACUCUCUCCCACUUGGGACAAGGGAGAAUGGUGACUGGGACACUUUUGUCCAACUGAGCUAGGAAAGCUUGAGUCACGCCUUUCCCUGAAGUUCCCCAGUAACCUUGGCUCGUUUCCUUAAAGCAGCGAAGGUCAGGCACAGAGGAGGGAGCCUCCCGGAGGGAUGAGAGCAGCUCCAUACCAGCAAGCAAGGCCGUGCAAUGACUUUCCCUUUUGGUGGCAUUUGCUUGGGCUCAACAAAUGAACUUGUUUUCAGCCUCCCUAAAGCUAAAUUCAUACUGCUGACACUACUUUUGUCAGCUCUGAUCAUCAGCCACAGCCACCCUGCCUUUUGGCUGAGCCCACAGACUUGCUGCCCACGGUCGUGAUAACAUUGCUUCCUCCUCCCUCUUAGAGGGAGCACAUUUAGGUGGCUUGUUUCAAUCUUACUUCUUGCCACUCAGCCUCUACACAGUCUUUGAGGAGUAGGAUGCUGAGGAACCCUUAUUGCUCCCCUUGCCUGUGACUUGGGUGAGAGCAUUCUCUACUGAAUCCCAGAGAAUCCUCUGAUACUCCCUCACCUGGCUCUCAGGGGCCCCUUGUCCUUUCUCUUCCAGAAAUCCAUUUCUCUGUUAGAUUCCUGUCCUCAUCACCAAUACUGUCAAAAACUACAAAGUGCCUAGGCUGUUAUCCUACUUGCAAGAUAAUGGGGAAGACAAUUACUAUUUAUGCUGACAUAAGACACAAGCCUCCUGGGUCAGAGACAAAUGAUUUGAUUACUCACAGCAGCAGCAGGUGCCAGCGUGUCAGCAUGGUGCUUUCAGGGCAUCCCCAUACACCCUGCCCCAUCAUCAUCGUGGGGUGAUACAAAGUGUCCAUGCGAAUAUCUGCACAGUGAAUUAUGUUACAGGAGAAGAACCCUGAAUUUGAAGGAUUCACUGAUCUUAUAUUGAGCAGAGAUAAGCCUUUUCUGUGUGCAGUGGUGGAUGUCACCUCAGCCGCCAAGGAUCCUCCCUGUAAACACGCCUGUGGGAAAUGGCAUAUGUAAAGAGCAACUUCACCUCUGCAUUCAGGGCACACCCAGCAAGAACAUGCACGGGCUCCCAGGGACCACAGGGGUGCCUCUCCCGGCAUAUACUGAAUGAUUUUAAGCCUGUGAAAUAUUUUGAAGCUUGCCAUGUGACCUAGCAUGGGGUCAAUAUGAGUAAAUAAAAUUUGACGUACAAAAUAAUGUGAAAUCUUCUGCUGAUGGCCCCCCAGUACAUCGUUGUAUAUUCUUCGUUGUGGGUCCUUCUAGUUGUGGCACACGGGACGCCGCCUCAGCGUGGCCCAACGAGCAGCGCCGUGUCUGCGCCCAGGAUUCGAACCAACAAAACACUGGGCCGCCUGCAGCGGAGUGCACGAACCCAACCACUUGGCCACGGGGCCAGCCCCUAGAUCUAUGAUCC